AUCCAGCUAACUAGUCUCAAAUAGGACGAAACGCGCAUCCUGGAU
rfam:Schistosoma margrebowiei strain Zambia genome assembly, scaffold: SMRZ_scaffold0000919